GCCUUCGUAGUGUAGCGGUUAGCACGUUCGACGCUUAACCGAUAGGUCCGAGGUUCGACUCCCGGCGAAGGCG
rnacentral:tRNA from 1 species